GUCAGUGUGGCCGAGUGGUUAAGGCGACAGACUCGAAUUAUGUAUAAUCGUUCAAGGACGAGUUUCAUAAAGACAUCUGUUGGGUUCGCCCGCAUAGGUUCAAAUCCUGUCGCUGACG